GAUUAGCUAAUCAGAGGUCAAAGUUCUGGUUAUAACUGGAGGUGAAAGGAUAUGUGACUGGCAGUUUAAGAUAUACUUUCACAAGCAUUUUAUGUCUUUAUAGCCAAGGAAUCUCAGAUUGAAAUACAAAGAAACAUUAUGCUCGAAGUCAAAGGACCACUUCAGAAGCUUUUUAACUAUCAAAGGUCCACAGCAGUUUUCUGGGUCACUGCAAUAAAUGAAAUAUUGUUUCCUCCUGCUUAACAGAGUAUUCGAUGGAAAAAUGCAUUCAAUGGCAAAGCAGAUUUGAAGUGAUUACUAAAUUUUUAAAACAAAAUAUGACAUUACUGUGUAAUGUAUUAAUAAUUCCCAGCAAAUGUCAAUACACCAGGAAUUUUAUCUCAUGCCUCUCGCCAUCUCUGGCUGGUUGAUUUUUGGUUAGCAUGGUGCCAUUACAGCUCCUGGCAUUCCAGAGUUUCUAUGUUCUCCCCAUGAGUGUGUGGGUUUCCUCCAGGUGCUCCGGUUUUACCCCACAAUCCAAGGAUGUACCGGCACUUUAAUGGAUUCUAAGCAGACGUCCACAGUACUGGUGGAAACCGAAGGGAACAGCUUCAGUGUUUAUGGAAGCUACAAGGCAUUGGACCACAAGACGAGAUUUGAACGAGCUCCCUGGAUGUGUAGAGUGCCCUCCUGCUUCAAAACAUCCACCAUUGUCCCUCUACCUAAAAAGACCAAGGUAACAUGUCUGACCUGCAGCAUGCUGCCACCCACACUGGACCCACUACAACUUGCCAACUGACACAACCGUACAACAGAUGACACAAUAGCCGCAGCUCGACACACCUUCCUUACACAUCUGGAGAAGAAGGAUGCAUAUGUGAGAAUGUUGUUCUUGGACUACAGUUCAACAUUCAAGACCAUAAUUCCCUCCAGGUUUGACCAGAGACCUCAGCCUUCACCCUGCCUUGUUCAGUUGGAUCCUGGACUUUCUGUCAGAUUGCUGGCAGGAGGUAAGAGUGGGCUCCCUCACCUCUGUCCCUCUGACCCUCAACAUAGGUUCUCCUCAGGGCUGCAUCCUAAGCCCCCUCCUUUACGCUCUGUAUACCCAUGACUGAGUCGCCACCCACAGCUCCAAUAUGCUAAUUAAAUUUGUUGAUGAUACUGCAUUGAUUGGCCUUAUCUCAGAUAACAGCCUACAGAGAAGAAGACAUCACCUGACACAGUGGUGUCAAGAAAACAACCUCUCCCUCAAUGUUGCAAGAAGAAAGGAGCUGGUUGUGCUCUACAAGAGGAAUGGAGACAAGCUAACCCCUAUUGAUGUCAAUUAUCUGAGGAUGAGUGGGUAAAGAGCUUUAAUUUUCUUGGCAUACACAUCACAGAGGACCUCACGUGGUCUCUACACACCGACACUAUGAUGAGAAAAGCACAACAGCGCCUCUUCACCUUAGGUGGUUGAAGAAGUUUGGCACGAGUCCCCAAAUCCUAAGUAAUUUUACAGGGGCGCAACUGAGAGCAUCCUGACUGGCUGCAUCACUGCCUGGUAUGGGAACUGUACUUCCCUCAAUCGCAGGACUCUGCAGAGAGUGGUGCAGAUAGCCCAGCAUAUUUGUGGUUGUGAACUUCCCACUAUUCAGGAUACUUACAGAGACAGGUGCACAAAAAGGGCCCAAAGGAUCAUUGGGGAGCCGAGUCACCCCAACCACAGACUUUUCCAGUUACUACCAUCUGAGCAAUGGUACCCGCAGCAUAAAAGCCAGGACCAGCAGGCUCCAGGACAGCUUCUUCCACCAGGCCAUCAGACUGAUUAAUUCACGCUAAUACAAUUGUAUUUCUGUGCUAUAUUGACUGUCCUGUUGUACAUAUUAUUAAUUACAAAUUACUAUGAAUUGCAGUUUGCACAUUUAGAUGGAGACAUAACGUAGAG